CUUGAAAAUUUCCUUAUUUGAGGACAAACUAAAAGCCUUACUUUUAAGAUACAAUUUAUUGCUACUUUAUGCUGUGUCUGUAGCGAGACACUUUCAAAUUGGUUUAAGAUUCUAUCCAGUCUUGGAAAUAUUGUGAAGAUAUUUGAUUUUCGCCUAGAUGUUUUCAAUGAGUGAUCUUCGUGAUUUACUGGCAGAAAGUGUUUGAAUCCUUCCAACUUUCUGCGGAUCUUCUUCUAAGGAGAGCAACAAAGGACACAGAGACUGCGCUGGAAGUUAUUGCAGAUGCUCUAUCUAUAAGUUCGUAUUCAGAGAAAUUACUUGAAAUGAGAGCUGGCAGAAGCUCUUUUCCCGCUGCGGAGGUAUGAAGAGGUAAUUCUGCCAUGCGAGCAGACCUUCGAUUCAGCUGAAAGGAAUUAAUUCUCCGUCUGCAGAUGGUGAUAGCCUGUUAGGGAAUCCAGAUGGUUCUGAAGUUUCAAAGAGUCCUUCCUUCAGGCUUUGGCGUUGCCUUCUGAUAUUCAGAUCACUUUUUCAUCUUGGAAAGCUGGAGGAGGAAAUUGCUUCACUGGAGAAGCACGAGGUAGAGGGUUUUACUACAAGGGGGAAUGGAAGCAAGGCUUUGGAAUCGUCCAUACCCUUAGUUGCCACUGUGCAUGAGCUCUUGCGCCAUAGGGUAUGCCAUUCAAUCAGUAAGCCGGACUCUGAAAUCAUCAAUGCCCUCAAAACCUGUUUUGUGCCUAUACAUAUAAUGAUAUUUGUUAGAUUUUCUUGUGACUGGAUUCAAUGAAAUCUACAAGGUGUCUGUGUAUCGUUUUGUUGCCAUUUUAUGGUAUGUGUGAAGGGCUGUUGGUGUGUCCUCUGAAGAGUCUCAGUUCCUUAUUUGUAACAAGACUUCAUAUGAUUUUAUUAUUCAAUGGUUUGUUUUCCAUCGAUUGUGAAAGAGAACUGAUCGAAUGCAUCAACAUAGACCCUUACUUGAAAAGAGAUCGAGAUUAAAGGGUUCAGACAAAUCUGAUGUCAGAGAACAACAAAGGGAAAGUAAAAUAAAAAACUUUAUUACAUAUAUUGUAAAUCAUCCUUGCUGUGUCUCAAAAAGUUGAAUACCAAGCAAUUGUUCUAGUUUUAAUCUCAUCUGUUCCCCACUUUCUGUUGUUGCACUCGAGUAUUCUCAAAAAGUUUUGAUAUUUUCGCUUUUAUUUUACUAUAGCUGUGUUUGAUCUCCAUAUGCUGCAAUGGAAGCGUAGAAGCAUUUGCUGAUAUAUUGGCAUUUUUCUUUUAGGUUGAUGGAAAUUUUUAAGGUCAUGCCAUUGUUAUG